UAGGCUUUAGUAAUGAGCAGAAUUAGAGCUCUAGUAGUAGUUACUAUGGCAAGGUUCUCUUGAAUGGUGGGGUGAAACUAGGUAACCAGCUCCGGAGAGCUGUUAACGCAUGUUAUCUUUCGGCGUUUGUUAGGGGGAUAACGAAACUGAAAAGCUCUGGGGGUAUUCGAGGGUCGAUAGAGGGACUCGACCUCUCUUGGUGAGCGAACAUGUGUUUUGCGCAAUGCCAUGACGGAUGAGUCCGCAAUUGGGUGCUUAUUUCCCCGUGUUGUUUCAUUAGAUAGUCAAAGGUAGCCAAAUGCCUCGUCAUCUUAUUAGUGACGCGCAUCAAUGUGAUUAACGUGAUCCCCACUUUCCCUAUCUACUAUCUAGCGAAACCACAGUCAAGGGAACUGGCUUGGCACAAUCAGCGGGAAAAGAAGACCUUGUUGAGCUUGACUCUGUGAAAAGACAUGAGAUGUGUAGAAUAGGAGGGAGUAGCAAUAGAUCUGUGAAAUACCACUAAUCUUAUCGUUUUUUACUCACCCGAUGAAGCGGAAGCAAACCGCAAGGUUCCCGUUUGGAUUUAAGGUCUCUCUUUUGCAGGCCGAUCCGUGUCGAAGACACUGUCAGGUUGGGAGUUUGGCCGGAGCUCAAUGAGAACAGAAAUCUCAAACAAAAGGGUAAAGGCUCACUUGAUUUUGAUUUUCAGUAUGAAUACAAACUGUGAAAGCAUGGCCUAUCGAGCCUUUAGACUUUUUAGCUAGAGGGUCAGAAAA
rnacentral:ncRNA from 1 species